CAGCCCUGCAGCGCAGAGAGACCACGAGUCGCAGACCAUUUUGAACCCUAGACACGGCACGGCCGCGGCGGCGGAGGCAUCCGGCGUGGCGUCGUGCCUUCGUUCCUCGCCCCUCUGGAUUCUGCGCUCCGGUUCGGCGGCAGCGCCGGCGCGCAAGCCCCAGGCCCCAGGUCGGAGCGGGCGAGCGGCGUCGCCUUCGUCCGUUCUCCGGCGCUCCUGCAGCAACUGAGCCACUCCGUAGGAAAGUUUAAUCUGGAUUCUGAAGCAAUGAGUACCUGUAAAAAGGCCAGGGCGGAAGGUAUAUGUGUUGUGACUUUAGAUAGACUGAGCAGCCUACCGCCAGAGAUAAAGGGCAACAUCCUCUCCCUUUUGAAUGUCGAAGAAGCAGUUAGGACUUGCACCUUAUCAAGUACUUGGAGGGAUGCAUGGGCUAAUAUGCCAAAAAUAUCUCUGCGCGAUGGAAAUUUUGCACGAACCAAGUUCGUUACGUUGGUCGAUAUGGUGCUAUCACUCCACAAAGGAACUAUAGAAGAGUGUCAUAUUUCAGGUAACAAAAAUUACCAUGAUGAGUUCGGUAGGUGGAUGCUCAUGCUGUCAAGAAAAUCACCAAGAUCAGUUAUAAUCAAGUUGAACUCAGGGCCAAUGUAUAGGAUUCCCUCAUGCCUCUUUUCUCUCGGCGAUCUGAAGUCUCUGCGACUGAAAAACUGCAUUAUCAGCUUGCCACGGGUAUUCCAAGGUUUCAAGAGCCUAACUUACCUCAGCCUGAGCUUUUUCUCCUCCACAGACAGGGAUAUCCAAAAUCUGAUCUCCUUUUGUCCUGAACUGACUUAUUUGAGAUUAACUUCUUUUGAGGGCAUCAAAUGUCUAAACAUUCAAUCUCCUACACUGGAAGAUCUUCUUGUUGAUGGGUACUUUGAAGACAUUAAUUUAGAUGCCCCUAAUCUGGAGGAGGCCAUUCUCUCUCUUGAUCUCAAAGCUAAGUCAUAUCAAUUUGUUCCAAUUCCGCAUGACAAGGAAAGCCAUGUCAAGCAGUCAUUGGGAAGCCUGAGUGACAUCGAAAUGCUUUUAGUUGGUGGUUUUUUCAUGAAGUAUCUAUCAAAGGGGUGCAUAGUUACGAAGCUCCCUGUCGUGUUUACUCGCCUAGAGGAUAUUUAUCUUGUGAUAUGCCUUUCGGACCAGAGGCAAGUCUUGACCGCGUGUUCAUUAUUUCAGAAUGCCCCCAACUUGAAGAACCUUGGGAUGUUGAGUUACCCUUCGAGAACAUGGGAUGAGGAUAAGGCUAGCAUUCAAGAGCUUACCCUGCAAAUGCAAAUGGACCAUCUCGUAACAGCUAGUGUGAAAGAAUUUAGGGGUCGGGACUACGAAGUCGAUUUCGUGGCAAAGCUACUGACCUGGGCACCUGCUUUGGAAGAAGUGAAAUUAGAGUGGAAGGGUCAAAUAGACCGCAGCAUGGUUCUUACCAAGCUAUUAGCUCUGCCGAGAGUGUCUCCCAGGGCCAAGGUCAUUGUUACAUGAUAAGUAUGCUAUUAGCUCUGCCGAGAGUGUCUCCUAUCGCAACUCCGUAGGAACACCACAUGCCUGAUGCUAUUGUAGUAGGCAACACAGAUACGAUAUUUGAGAGCACUUCAAAGGAUGAUGAGCUUACCCAAAGGUUUGCAUACAUGGCGAACUCUCAAUCGAACUCAUGGCAUAAACUUCGUCGACCUCAGUUAUUUGAUGAUAUGUCUAUUUCUGUUGUCAUGCUUUGUUUAGUGUGUCUGCUUUUCUGGCACUUGGAUGCUCUUUUCUUUCUUCGUGUGCUCCCUUUUUGGGUUUGACGCUUGCUACUGGGGCUAGAGUUGUUGUCGAAAAGCAUCUCCAACAGCCGUGCUAUAUAUCGUGCACGCAGGAAAAAGCAUGUUUUAUCGCGUG